GACGAACGCUGGCGGCGUGCUUAACACAUGCAAGUCGAACGGAAAGGCCCUGCUUUUGUGGGGUGCUCGAGUGGCGAACGGGUGAGUAACACGUGAGUAACCUGCCCUUGACUUUGGGAUAACUUCAGGAAACUGGGGCUAAUACCGGAUAGGAGCUCCUGCUUCAUGGUGGGGGUUGGAAAGUUUCGGCGGUUGGGGAUGGACUCGCGGCUUAUCAGCUUGUUGGUGGGGUAGUGGCUUACCAAGGCUUUGACGGGUAGCCGGCCUGAGAGGGUGACCGGCCACAUUGGGACUGAGAUACGGCACAGACUCAUACGGGAGGAAGCAGUGGGGAAUAUUGCACAAUGGGCGGAAGCCUGAUGCAGCAACGCCGCGUGCGGGAUGACGGCCUUAGGGUUGUAAACCGAUUUCGCCUGUGACGAAGCGUGAGUGACGGUAAUGGGUAAAGAAGCACCGGCUAACUACGUG
rnacentral:rRNA from 1 species